AACGAACGCUGGCGGCAUGCCUAACACAUGCAAGUCGAACGAACCCUUCGGGGAAGUGGCGCACGGGUGCGUAACACGUGGGAACCUACCCUUAGGUUCGGAAUAACAGUUAGAAAUGACUGCUAAUACCGGAUAAUGUCUUCGGACCAAAGAUUUAUCGCCUUUGGAUGGGCCCGCGUAGGAUUAGCUAGUUGGUGAGGUAAAGGCUCACCAAGGCGACGAUCCUUAGCUGGUCUUAGAGGAUGAUCAGCCACACUGGGACUGAGACACGGCCCAGACUCCUACGGGAGGCAGCAGUGGGGAAUAUUGGACAAUGGGCGAAAGCCUGAUCCAGCAAUGCCGCGUGAGUGAUGAAGGCCUUAGGGUUGUAAAGCCCUUUUACCUGGGAUGAUAAUGACAGUACCAGGAGAAUAAGCCCCGGCUAAUUCCGUGCCAGCCGCCGCAGUAAGAC
rnacentral:rRNA from 1 species